GUCGAUAAGUAAACAUGGUUCUU
rnacentral:snRNA from 1 species